GUCUUUCAUUAAGCUGCUCGUAUGAGAGCAAGAUGAGGCUGUGUGAGAUGUUUCCAUGGACCUGUUUCACAGCAUUGGUUUAUUUUAGCCAAUCGGCAGAGUCCUGGCCUCAGGCUCGGCUGACAGCAGAUCCUCCAGGGUCAGACGUGUUCCUAGGAGAGAAUGUUACUCUCACCUGUCGGGUCACUGGGUCUGAGGGAUGGAAAUAUAUCUGGACCAAAGAGACAAAUGGAGCCACCUUUCAGCUUCUGCGCAGCAGUGGGCAAGAUGGUGAAACGUACAUCCUGCAACCUGUGAGAAAGUCUGACCGAGGACUUUAUCAGUGUAGCGGACUUAGAGGAAGUGAACUUUCUUACAGCAACUCUCACAGCCUGCAAGUGCAUGGUAAGUUAUUA